GAUGAACGCUGGCGGCGUGCCUAAUACAUGCAAGUCGAGCGAACAGAUGAGGAGCUUGCUCCUCUAACGUUAGCGGCGGACGGGUGAGUAACACGUGGAUAACCUACCUAUAAGACUGGGAUAACUUCGGGAAACCGGAGCUAAUACCGGAUAAUAUAUUGAACCGCAUGGUUCAAUAGUGAAAGACGGUUUUGCUGUCACUUAUAGAUGGAUCCGCGCCGCAUUAGCUAGUUGGUAAGGUAACGGCUUACCAAGGCAACGAUGCGUAGCCGACCUGAGAGGGUGAUCGGCCACACUGGAACUGAGACACGGUCCAGACUCCUACGGGAGGCAGCAGUAGGGAAUCUUCCGCAAUGGGCGAAAGCCUGACGGAGCAACGCCGCGUGAGUGAUGAAGGUCUUCGGAUCGUAAAACUCUGUUAUUAGGGAAGAACAAAUGUGUAAGUAACUAUGCACGUCUUGACGGUACCUAAUCAGAAAGCCACGGCUAACUACG
rnacentral:rRNA from 1 species